AUGUUAAGGAAACUUUUGAGCGGCUCUUCUAGCCAAGGCUCUCAGGAAAAACAAGCCAAAGAGAAGGAAAAAGCCAAGUACAAUCUUCCUCGUUUAGCGGAAGUGCGGUCGUGUGAAUGGGCGUGCGAUGAUUUCUUGAAAGAAGCUGGAAUUCAUGAAGAUUUUUAUUCUUUGAUUGAGAAUGCAGGCCUCACCGGUUUCAUCAACGACCGGAUCGAUCAGUAUCUCUUACUCACCAAUACUUUCGUGCAAAAAUUUUAUUAUUAUCCUAAGAAGUCACCACCUGCAGUAUCAUUUCAUUUAUAUGAUGAAUUCAGAGAAAUAUCUCUACGUAAUUUUUGCGCACUGUGUAGGAUACCUUAUGAGGGAGAAUUAGAGGAACCCCAUCGUAAAGAUGUGGAUGACUUUGUUAACACUAUUGUUGUAGAGGAGCCAAAGAAGGGUUCCGAAGCGAAAAUCUCUAGCAUACACUUUCCUGUUUUACGCUACUUUGCCAUAUUUGCUAGUAGAUGCUUUAUUGGUCGAGGAAAUAGUGGAAACUUUAGUGUUCCUGAUAUUAUCAUUCUUCAACAUGCCUUGCUUGGAGACAAUAGUUUUAGUAUGGGUGUUGUCUUUGCUAAACGGCUAGCCCUGAAUCGUACAAAAGGCCCCAUAUUUGGAGGUAUCUAUGCUUCACGUCUUGCUAGACAUUUUCAGAUACCUAUUAGGCACCAUGAGAAAGAGGAGACAAAAUUGCCUCCUCACAUUUUAGAUUACAAGAGCAUGGUAGCCCACAAGUUUAUCAUUGACAACGAAGAAAGGAUGCUCUUGUAUAACCUUAGAUUUAAUAAGAAACACAAUGAGAUUAUUAUUUUGCCUACGCCUCUGUUGUUUGAUUUGACUACAGAUAAUUUUCUUGUUACACCUGAAGUGGUGUACACUCAUCGAGCCCAAGCUUUAACUCCAGAACAUGAACCUGAGCCGGAACCUGAAAUGAACCCUUAUCAUGCAUCAUCUGUCCAGUGGGAUCCGGAGAUGACCAGCCAGUGGUAUCCUGAUUACACCUCCCAGUACACCGGGGAGAGUAGAGGCGGUCCUUGGUAUUAG
rnacentral:rRNA from 1 species